rnacentral:rRNA from 1 species
AUGAACGCUAGCUACAGGCUUAACACAUGCAAGUCGCAGGGUAACAUGAGGAAAGCUUGCUUUCCUUGAUGACGACUGGCGCACGGGUGAGUAACGCGUAUCCAACCUUCCCAUAACUACGGGAUAACCCGUUGAAAGACGGCCUAAUACCGUAUGAUAUCGUUUGCUGACAUCAAAUAACGAUUAAAGGUUUAGCGGUUAUGGAUGGGGAUGCGUCUGAUUAGCUUGUUGGCGGGGUAACGGCCCACCAAGG